GGCGUGCCCCACCACGCCCAGCUAUUUUUUGUAUUUUUAGUAGAGACGGGAUUGCAUAAUGUUGGCCGGGCUGGUCACAAACUCCUGACCUCAGGUGAUCCUCCCGCCUUGGCCUCCCAAGUGCUGGAAUUACAGGCGUGAGCCACUGCUCCUGAGCUUAGUGACCACUUUUCUAGGUCAACCACUCAUUUUGUUAUUGUGUGGCUAUUUCUCUCCUGGCAAAUGAAAAAGAUAAUUUUUGAAACAUCCAGAGAACCCUGAGAUUUUGAAUCAGGCUGUUGGCAAACAAAAUAAAACAAAACAAACAAA